GACCCUAUCGUCCAGAGGCCUAGGACAUCGCCCUUUCACGGCGGUAACACGGGUUCGAAUCCCGUUAGGGUCGCCA
rnacentral:tRNA from 1 species